UUACACAAUCAUACCAAAACUCUGUCUUGAUAGUUUCCACUUUCUCUUUUUGUAUCAGACAUACUGACACAAUAUUCGGGAUAAAUAACCAUGAAACAAUUUAUUUAUUCAGUUUAGUGUUUUACACAUCACAUCAAAGAGCCUGUUUCACUGGAAUUGUCCACUUGAUGGCGCAGUAGAGCAAAUGAAGCAUCACAAUUCUUCGAACCAUCUGUCGACUAGUUGGAUGGAAAGCUUCAGUUCAUCACGAGGCUUCAUCUCACCAUCACUAAUGAUCGAUACUUUAGUUAGUUUCUCUCCUGUAGGUUCACUACUUUACUCUUUGUGGAUGAAAAAGCAGCUCUGUCUGUGCGAACACCUCUUCUAAUGCGGCAGACUCACUUCUUCCUACCCCGCUGUGACUUCGGUGGUCACGUGACUCCACUACACAGAAAAUGCAUUUGGGCUACAGAGAGUGAGCAAGAGGAGCAACAUGUGGAGAUAUUUUAUGACUGUAAAUGAAAAUGCUGGAGAAGAGAUGGAAGGCAUGUCAGCACCUAAAGCCACAGGGGACCACAACAAGCUGUAGAGUUCAGCUUUCGGGCUUUCAGAUCGUUUGUUUGCAGGGUUGGAAAAUAGGCAGCAUAGUGGCUCAGACCUGACAGGAGGAAUGGAGGAGCUUUUGCUACCCUAGCCUCUUCCUGUGAGCAGUUUGCAUGUUCUGCUUUUAUUUCUGGGUUGUUCUCCGGGCACUUUUUCAGCUAUCCAAAAGAUCUUACAGUCCUUCUUUAAUUAGCAUUUUGUCCACAUGUAGUGACUGUAUUACUCAUGUUACAUGCAGCUGCAAUUCACAGACAUUUCCUGAACACCUCAUAUGGAAGCAAAUAAGAGACGUGACAUGAACAAAAUACAAGAAAAACUCAUCCAAAUUACUUCAUUCUCAGUUAAAAGCCUGUGAAGAGCAAAAGUGGUUCCUUUCCUUCUCACUAGGAAGGAUGCAGAAUUAUAUUGUGCAGCUGACAUCACCUCAUUACAAUAUACUAUUAUCUUGUAUUUUUUCACACCCCAGAUAAAGGCUUUGGAUGAAUUUACACUUCACACGUUUUAAUAUCAAACUUUGUGUUUCUGUACACCUUGGACAUUAUAACCUGACACUGGUCAGUGCUGAAUGUGUCCAUACAGUACAGGGGAUAAUCUUUCAGGAUGGAACAGCUUUCAGAUUUUUUUUAUUCGCAGAAAGGAUAAAAUUAGUCUCUUUCCACUUUAAGAGAGGGGAACUCACUGAUGCAAGUACACUCUGGAUCUGUGUGAUCAGGCUGUCAUGAAUACUGAGCUCCUGCUCUUUGUGUUGCAGGUGUGACCUCGGCAUGUGAGAAGUCCUGUGUUUAAAUCCCAGAUGACCAAAUCCCACGCUGUCAUAACAGCAUGUGCUGUUUUGCACAACAUCUGCCUCGGUGCUGGUGAUAUUGUGGCCUGGAGGAUGAUGUUCAAGAUGAGGGGGAGAUUGGUUCAGAGGCAGUCAGUGGUGCUCUCUGAUGGGACCAGCUAUCUGCUGAGGUGUCUGCCCUGGAGGAGGUACCCCUGGACCAAAAUGAUUGUCAGCAGGCAGACAUUUUAGUGGACAUGGCAGCCGUCAGUUACAUCAGUCCUGCAAACCCAAGAGAUAGAUGAUGUGAUGAACCGUGGAAACAAGCAUCCCUAAACAAGUUCUGCAGAUCACCCUGUAUGAUGCUCAACUUAGAAGCUAGAAAGGCAAAUCAUUUCACUUAUGGUGUCUCCUUCAUCUCUUUGGUCCUGGUCCAGCAGAUUCAGCAGUACUGCCCGAGACUUCCUGCUCAGCCAAAUAUCAGGGCUGGUUAAAAGUGUGCAUACUGGGACACUCAGGUUAAUCCUGGACUUUAAUAAUAACUCUUAAUAACUAAUACUCCUGUUGUGUUUUUUUUCAGUUGUUAUUU